AGGAAUUAAGGAACAGAGCCACAGUGUUUCAGGGGCAGAUGAGAGGUGACCACCAGAGGCCAAGGCUAGCCAGAGCAGGGAAAGCACGGAGCCCCAGUGUUUCAGGAGCUGAUGAGAAGCAGCCCUUGACAUGCCAAGGUCAGCUAGACUUGUCAGGUGGCCCAUGGGGAGACCAAGCCAGCCAGACCUGCUCCAUGUUCCCUCAGUUACACGGGGCCCCAUAGUGUCCCAAUGGUCCCUUGCUUCCAUGACGCACUGAGGUGUCCCAAUGGCCCUUUGGUGACAUGAGGCCCUGAAAGGCCCUCAUGGUCUCCAUGGUUCCAUCAGGCCCCACAGAGUCAUAAUGAUCUCUGGGUUCCAUGAAGCCCCGCUGUGUCACCAUGGCCCCUUGGUUCCAUGGGCUCCAGUGGUGCCACAAUGAACCCCUUGCUUUCAUGAGGUCCCCACAGUAUCCCAGGGAUCUCCAUGGGAAGGAAAGAACCAAGCCCCAGUGUUGCAGAGGCAGUCACCAGAGGCCAAGGCCAGCCAGACUUGAUGGGACUGGCAGAUUUUGCCUGGAAGCAACCCUUGGAUAUACAGAAUUUUAGAGGAAGGAAAGCACAGAGCUCAAGUGUUUCAAAUGGAGAUGAGGAGAGAGAUGGCUCCUGGGAGGCUCAGCCAGCCAUAUCUGUUUCUCCUGGCAGCUCUCAUCAUGGAGGAGUCCUUGGAUAUAUGGAAUUUGGGAGGAAGAAUCUCAGUUUUGUCCACGGGCAUCUUGAGAAGAAGGAUGGUUCUUUUCCAUUGGAAGGAAAGCACCGACACUCAGUGUUUGGAAAGCAGAUGAGACGCAGCCCCCAAGAGGCCAAGGGCACCCUGACCUGUCUGUCCUGGCAUCUUUCAUUGGGGGGAAAUCCUUGGAUGUAUUGUGUUCUUGAGAUGGAAUCCCAGAUUUGACCAUGGGCACCUGGUCAAGAUGGAUGGGUUUUUUUGUAUUGGAAAGAAAAGUGCAAAGUCCAGGUGUUCUGGAAGAUGAUGAGAGUUGGCCACCAUUAAGACAAGCCAGCCAAACCUCUCUCUGCUGGCACCUUUUGUCUAGGGGCUAUCCUUGGUCACAGGGCAUUUUGGAGGUGGAAUGUCAAUUUUGGCCAUGGGCACCUGGACAGCAAGAAGAGUUCUUUUCAUUAGGAAGGAAAGCACAGAGCCUCAGUGUUUCAGAGGCAGAUGAGUGCCAGCCCUUAGGAAGCCAAGGCCAGCCAGAUUUGUCACUCCUGGCAGCUUUUGUCUCAGAGUUAUCCUUGGAUAUAGGGAAUGCUGGAGACAGAUGCCCAAUUUUGGCCAUGUGUACUUGGUCGGGAU